rnacentral:lncRNA from 1 species
AGGCAGGGGCAGCAGAAGAUUGAUGUAACCAGGCAUCCUCAGGUGAUGAGAUAAAAAGAAACAUAAUUCACAUCAACUCUCACAGAGUGACGGUGGUAAAGGAGUGCACAGAAUUUUUUUCUUCUCAUAGAAAAAGGAGUAGAUCAUUGAAGUUUAGGAAACACUGUGGUGUUACGGGGAGAGUAAUGGGAGUCGUGAAUGUGGAAAUACAGAGAGAAAAUGAGUGAGAAAGAGAACAGGAAAAGUGGCAGGACUCGGUUGCUGCAGCUUCAGUAGAGGACGUGAAGCUUGAAAAAAUAAGGACUGAGACCAGGCAGGGGAGACCUGAGGAGCGGCUGCAGCCGGCAUGCUUCUCAAGACGUCCCUGCCCACAGAAGCUGACAAACCCAAGCAGACAAAUUUGGAGUUCAAGUAAGAGAAUGAUUCAAAAAUGGACCAAAACUGAGGCCUGUCCUUAAUUACUCAUAGUGAGAAGAUGUAACCACUCCUUGGGGAGGAGGAUGGGCAGUGAGCACUCAACUCCUGUGUUGUAUCUAUCGAGGUGAACUAUGUGCUGGCCUAACUUGCCUGUUCAAG